UGCAGUCGACGGCAGCACGGAGAGCUUGCUCCUGGUGGCGAGUGGCGAACGGGUGAGUAAUAUAUCGGAACGUGCCCGAGAGUGGGGGAUAACUAGUCGAAAGAUUAGCUAAUACCGCAUACGAUCUACGGAUGAAAGUGGGGGAUCGCAAGACCUCAUGCUCAUGGAGCGGCCGAUAUCUGAUUAGCUAGUUGGUGGGGUAAAAGCUCACCAAGGCGACCAUCAGUAGCUGGUCUGAGAGGACGACCAGCCACACUGGAACUGAGACACGGUCCAGACUCCUACGGGAGGCAGCAGUGGGUAAUUUUGGACGAUGGGCGCAAGCCUGAUCCAGCAAUGCCGCGUGAGUGAAUAAAGCCUUCCGGUUGUAAAGCUCUUUUGUCAGGCAAGAAACGGUCUUGGUUAAUACCUGCGGCUAAUGACUGUACCUGAAGAAUAAGCACCGGCUAACUACGUGCCAGCCGCCGCGGUAAUACGUACGGUGCAAGCGUUAAUCGGAAUUACUGGGCGUACAGCGUGCGCACGCAGUUAUACAAGACAGAUGUGAAAUCCCCGGCCUCAAUCUGGGAAUUGCAUUUGUGACUGUAUGGCUAGAGUGUGUCAGACGGAGGUAGAAUUCCACGUGUAGCAAUGAAAUGCGUACAUAUGUGUAGGAAUACCGAUCGCUAAGGCAGCCCCCUGGGAUAACACUGACUCUCAUGCACGAAAGCGUGGGGAGCAAACAGGAUUAGAUACCCUGGCAGUCCACGCCCUAAAGAUGUCUACCAGUUGUCGGUCGUAAUUGACUUGCUAUGCAGCUAACGCGUGAAGUAUA
rnacentral:rRNA from 1 species